UUCAUUCAUAACUCCUCAGAUGUGUUCUGUCCAGUGAAGGCAGUGGAGAAGCCCUACACUAAUCUUGAAACUGUGCCACGCUACUAGAAACCGGCUACAAGGAUGGGCAGCUGUUUUCGCAAAGUCAGCCAACCACUUGCUUCCAAAUGACCCUUAUCCAGAAGUAUCCGUGAGUGCCUCAUCAACAGAAACUAAAGUGGAGACCUACCUCUCAGAGAAAAACGCACACAUAAGAAAA